GAUGAAGAACGUAGUGAAAUGCGAUAAGUAAUGUGAAUUGCAGAAUUCAGUGAAUCAUCGAAUCUUUGAACGCACAUUGCGCCUGCCAGUAUUCUGGCGGGCAUGCCUGUCUGAGCGUCAUUUCAACCCUCAUGCCCCUAGGGCGUGGUGUUGGGGAUCGGCCAAAGCCCGCGAGGGACGGCCGGCCCCUAAAUCUAGUGGCGGACCCGUCGUGGCCUCCUCUGCGAAGUAGUGAUAUUCCGCAUCGGAGAGCGAUGAGCCCCUGCCGUUAAACCCCCAACUUUCCAAGGUUGACCUCAGAUCAGGUAGGAAUACCCGCUGAACUUAAGCAUAUCAAUAAGCGGAGGA
rnacentral:misc_RNA from 1 species